UACGUAGGCAGCAAGCGUUGUUCGGAAUUACUGGGCGUAAAGAGUGUGUAGGCGGUGUUCUAAGUUUGGUGUGAAAUCUCCCGGCUCAACUGGGGAGGGUGCGCCGAAAACUGGAAUGCUAGAGUAUGGGAGAGGUAAGCGGAAUUCCUGGUGUAGCGGUGAAAUGCGUAGAUAUCAGGAGGAACACCUGUGGUGUAGACGCUUCUGGACCAUCACUGACGUGAGACACGAAAGCGUGGGUAGCAAACAGG
rnacentral:rRNA from 1 species